GACUUUUACAACUUUUUUUUUUUCAAUUAGACUUUUACAACUUUUUUUUUUUCAAUUAGACUUUUACAACUUUUUUUUUUUCUCCCAUUUUGUUUCCAAUGAUUUGAAAUUGUUCUUGUGGCUGUUUUGAUUUUCUUUAGAGCUUACUCUGGUCCAUUUAGCUUUUGUUGACAAUUGACUUUUCUCUGGCAUAAUAUUUGUGCACAAAGAGCAAUGUUGUUUCUUCUCUGACUGGGGGAAUCCAAUAGUACUGCAGAUCACAGCCAAAACUUUUUUUUUUUUUUUUUUACAUAUUGUCAAUCAUAACUUGUUUUAAUCAUUUUCUUUUGAACAAGUUCCCAUAUGGUAAACUGUUACUAUGACCUAUUGAAUCAUGUGGCCAGCACAACAACCAAUCUCCUUUACUUUCAACAGCUAAUGUCAGGUACAAGUAGAGUUACGAGGACUUGGGUCCAUCCUAAAAAUCCAGAAAUUAAAAAUCUCAAUCUUCUCUGAGAUUCAAACCUGACACCCCCCUUUGGUUCAUAAGUCAAACACUUUAUCACUCAGCCACCACAUCCUCUUUAUAUCAUCUACAAUAAAAUACAAUAAAGCUUGCAAAGUCCGAAAGGGCUUUUUUAAAAUCUCCAAUCGUAUAAAAAGUUAAAAAAAAACAACAUAAAAGCUGCAGAGUGAAUUUGAACUCCAGACCCUUUAUCUGUUAGCCACCAUGCACCCUGUCAUUCUUUAAUGCUUGCAUAAUCUUUUAAAUUGUUUUAUCCUGAAGGUUGAUGACAUUUAGUCUAUUGAUGUCAGAAUAUCAAUUAAGGCUCUGAUGUGGCUUCUACAUUUCUCCACCAAACUAUCUCAACGCUUUCUUUGCACAAUCUUGUAUGCAUAACUAUUACAAUGUCAUUAUUAUAGAUCAUUUUUUGUCCAUGCGGUGAUCAUAUUGACUUGAAAGCUGUGACAAUUUAGUGAAUACAUUUUGACACAAAGCAAAGUGUUCAGAUUGGGCAACAUUUCUCAAAGACUCUUGUGUGUGUUCUUCAAGAUUUGUAACUAGUCUUGAAAUGUUAAAAACUUCUCCC